rnacentral:rRNA from 1 species
GAACUAUAGAGUUUGAUCCUGGCUCAGAUUGAACGCUAGCGGCAUGCUUUACACAUGCAAGUCGAACGGCAGCGCGGGGUAACCUGGCGGCGAGUGGCGAACGGGUGAGUAAUACAUCGGAACGUGCCCUGUGAUGGGGG